rnacentral:lncRNA from 1 species
GUCUGGAUAUGAGGUAUUCUGCAAUCUGAUUGGUUCUCUACUAACAGGACAUUAGCUCAUAUCCUGCUAGUAGAGAAAAAAAAUGGCGGCUCAAACUGAAUUAACGACGUUUUGCGAACGAGAAAACAACAAGUUGUUCGCUUUUUAUAGCCUUUACAGGAUUAAAAACACAAUGAAAAAACUCCCACAAAUUGUUUACAGGUUAGCAAAU